GAAAAAAAAUUAACGGGAUAUCGCGAUAAAAUUGGUCACACCGACGACGGCCACAUCAAAAAACUGGGGGUCUGGCGUGACCCUGUUAUUUCUAUUCUGCAAUAAAAUAGCUGUGUAAUCUUAGUUAACUAGUGUGUGGUUUUUUGUUGAUUUAUUAUAAUUUGUAGUGUAAUACAUGUGUAAAAUAUGGAACGUGCUACUGGAACCGAAGUGUACGGGUGUGGCUCUACCCAAAGCACGGACAUAACUUUGAAUAUACAUACCACCACGGGUGGUAAUUUUUCCGUGAGUUUGAACGGCAAAAGCACCGUCGAGCAUCUAAAGAAACUAGUUUCAAAGAAACUAAAGGUGUCAAAGGAUCGAAUAUGCUUACUACAUCGCGAGAGACAAUUGAGGGACGGCACGUUGGAAGAAAAUGGACUGAUGGACGGGUCGCGGGUCAUCCUACUACCAAGCGUCGAGACCGGAUUGCUGAGUCAAAGACCCGAGAAUACAGUGAUGCAAGCAUUAGAGUCCUUGAAUGACACCCAAGUCAAUGAUUUCUUGAGUGGUAAAUCACCAUUAAAUUUGACAAUGCGCUUGGGAGAUCACAUGAUGUUGAUACAACUUCAGCUAUCUACCCUACACUCCAGUUCUUGUCCUAGAUCUUUAAGGAAUUCUGCAGCUGCAAAAACCUCUUCAACUUCUCAGCAGGCAGCAAGUGAUAAUAAGGAUAGUAAGGAUUCUAACCAUCAAAAUAACACACAAAAAUCUGAGCCAGAGACCAACAGUCCUGAAAAAGAAAAAAGUAAUCCUGAUCUACAAACACAUGUGUUCCAAAAACAUGAUUUAGAGUUAUUACAGAAUGCCUUUGAUCUAUAUCGCUCUAUGGCUGAAGAGAAAUAUGCAAAUGCUACAAAAACAGAAGCAAAAAAUGACAAAACUGAAUCAUUAGACGGAACUAACUGUACUAUACCAGAUUUGUCGAACAUAACUGUAGAAAAUGACCAAUCACCAAUUAAAUCACUCUCCAACAUGGUGUCUAGUCCUAUUGAUACUUCUGCUACACCUACAACAGAAACUAGAGAUAUGUCAAUUGUUAAUUCUGUUAAAAGUAAUUUACUGGAGUUACUAUCACAAAACAAAUCAAAUAGUGAACCUGUCCCAUCAACAAGUGGUAUGACUGAUAAAGCAUGUCCUUCAACAUCAUCACAUGCAUCUGAUAGUUCAUUUAGUGAUGACAAUGACAAUUUCACUGACCAAAGCUCGUUUCUUGCUGAGAGUACAAUAGAUGAAUAUCCUAUGGAAAAUCUCUUCAACAGUGCUGUAGACAAAGGCUUGUUUGGAGACCAAGAUGAAUGUAUGUUGGAUAGAGAGAUUUCAAAUUUGGCAACUACUAGUCAUGGACAGGCAUCAAACACAGGCACAUUGCCUUCCUUUCAGAGUUUAAAUGAGCCAUUGAAAAAUAAGAGAUUCCAAUAUUUACUUCAUAAAACUUCCAAAUUUAAACAUCCCAUAGGACAAAAUAAACAAAGAGCCUUCAUGCAGUCUGUUGUAAACAAACACAAGAAGAGAAUGCAAUCUAGACAAGAUAAUAUAGCAGCUCAACCUUCAACAUCUCGAACAGAACCAUAUAUAACAAACCCAAGGAAACUUAUACUACAGCCAAGCAACAGCAAUGCCGACGAUCAAGCCACUCCUUCUACGUCUAAACAAAUAUCCUUCAGACCCCCUGAUGCGCCAAAAAAGCCUGCUAGAGUGUUGCCCACACCCACAGUAGAUACUAAAGCACUAAUAGAGGCCUCAAAGAAUUUGACUCAGAAACUGAAAAAGUUGUCAAAGGAAGUGUUAACAAACAAAAUUGAUCUCAGAACUGCCGAAGAGACUAUGCGGUCCAAGAUUGGCCCUGGUGCUGUGAUAGAGUCCAUGAAACAUCAUGGCAAAGGAAUAUAUUCAGGAACUUUCUCAGGAACGCUCAAUCCUGCACUUCAGGACAGAUAUGGACGACCAAAGAGAGAUAUAUCUACAAUUAUACAUAUUCUGAAUGAUUUAUUAUGUGCAACUCCACCUAUUGCUUUAGCUCAGAAGGAUCCCAGUCACUCCUGUGCUAGUACUGAAGAACAAACCAAAUGUGUAGGGUGCAGUCAACCUUCAUGCUUAUAUGGACAAUGCGACGGUCACCUACCUUCCACAUCCACCGACAAAAAAGACUGUUCAUGCAAACUGACACACUGUCAGUGCAUUAGACUCGCUCCUGUCGCCUGCGCCAGUUGCGUCACUAAGACCCCCGAUGAAAUAUGCAAGAAAUGCGACACAGCUAAAGCUCUAGCCAUUGAAAACUCAAAGACAAAGUGCAAACUAGAACAAUUAAGGCUCGUAAUGCAACAGAAGAAACAGAGACGAGAGGCGAGAAAGUUAAAGACGAUGCCUUAUGCAAAUACAGCCCCCAAAGCAAUCUCUUCCCCGGAACAGCCACCUGUUAUAAAAGAAGAAAUCGAAACAGUUGCCUAACCCGCGAUUUGGCCGCAAGCACGUGUGAGGCUGAUGAAAAUGUUGCUUGCGUUUUUCACACUUAUGAAUAAGAAACAAAAGGCCCCAGGAAAAACUGAAAAAUUACAAAUCUAAAGUGUUGAAAACAUACAUGAAAUUGACAAUAUGUUUGGGUUCAGCUUAUCUCAUGUAAAUAGUUUUUGUGCCUAAAUUUUACAGAAUGAAUUUACGUAAACGUAUUCUACAUAGACGCCUGUGUAAACAAUGUGCGUUGCCGAACACAAGAGCGUCCUAAAUACGCUAAAUGUGAAUUCAUGCAAAUAUCAUUGUUCUCUGCACAUGAAUAAACGAAAAGUGCUUUCUUUGUGUAAAAAUGGAGAGUUGAAAUGGAGCCUCGAUGCUGUUUCAUUAUGGUUAAACUAACAUUGAGUUUACGAUUCUAAAUUACCAUUUUAAUCAUAAGUUGAAGUAGUAGAUUUAAAAUAAUUAAGUGCUAUUAUAUGCAUGUACAAAUUGAUUAACCUAGCGAGUUCUGAAGUGAUAGUUAAACUUAGUUUUAACCAGUCAAUGUUAUCUUGCGCAGUUGGUGUGUGCCGUCUAAAUUUUUUGUUAUCUUUGUUAAAUUUUAAUUUUUUUUUGUUUGUUCGAGAACACGCACUAUUUAUUAUUAUAAUAUGAUGCAUUAACAAAAUCUGAAUAGUUUGUGAGAAUAUUAAUUUCUAUCCCUGUUUUAAAUUGUUUUUCAGGCAAUUAAGACUGUCCCAUGAUUGGCAAUGUUUUUAUACUUUGUUUCUUUUAUCACGGGUAUAAUAUUGUUGAAUAUAAUAAAUGUUUUCUCCAUUAUAAUUUUGUUUAGUUCCUUUUAUAUUACCAUUUUUAUUUGUAAAAAUCAAUGCAUGAUGUAUAAACACCAAUUAUUAUAAAAAGCAUAUGACAGCCUUUCGAAAUUGAUUCCUUAGAACUAGCUUUGUAAAUACAUAAGUUAGCUAAGUAUUCAGCUAUGAAGUGCUUUUCACAUUUGUAUAUCAUUUAAAAUUUUGAUGUUGAAUUGCUUAGAAAUAAUUUAGCAUUUUAAUGUGAAUAAUAGAACAUAAAAAUACAGAUAGAGUUAUUUAAGUCAAUGCAAGGAGUUGAAAAAUAAUAACAUCGACGCGGAAUGUUAUUAUUUCCUAAAAAUCUGUUAAUAUUGUUUUUUUUUCAUGAAGUAUUUAUUGAUGGAAUUAUAUAUCACAGUCGCGUACGUUAAAAAUUUGAAAUUUCGAUUACUCGCCGUCUAAUUUUGUAUCUGUGCACCAAAUUCUCGCACAAAUUUAUUUCAAAAAACUCGUACGAAUCUAUAAUAAUAUUAUUCAAAAAAGAAUAUAGGAAUGCAUUAAAACAUAUAAUAUAAUAGGUUUUGUUUCUAGAUAGUUUCCUAGUUUAUAUUGCAGGAAAUUAUUGAUAAAUCUUAUGUUAAUAAAAUAUCUAAUGAAUCUCCGAUGUAAAUAGGACGUACCUGGUGUAGCUGACAAUUCAAUAGGCUGCUUGCAAACUGGAUAUUAGUGACGGACAAACUUUUUCAUUUCAAACUAUUCAACUUGGACCCAACGUAGCAAUGUGAAAGGAUAAUUUAAAGUGUAAUGGGAGUAAUAACGCGUUUUUUGGCCAUUAUGUGUAAAUGUAUUCAUAAUCAUAUUAUUGUAUCAGUACGAUAUAUGUUAAAUUCUACUAAUUUAGGGACUCUAUAUAACUUUCUUCUUAUGGUCGAAAUUAAUUUAGUUUUGAUUUGUAUUUUUAAAUCACUAGCCGACGUCCGUUAUAAUCUCGUGCUUUAGAUUAAAUUUCAACAAUUCAUCCUAAUAAACAACAUUUAGGUACAUUUAUACGUUAAAAUAAUUACCCAUAAAAAAAGUAGUCUGAGACCUGAUUUUUCAUUCCAAUUUACAGUGUACACAGGUAAAUGAAUUUACGUAAUUUUAGUACUGUUUUACCAACGAAAACUAAAAAGCAAAUACGAGCCAUAAAACUAUUAAUUAGGUAAAUUAAAGUACCUAUCGAACGUAACGCCGCGCCAUUAGGAAUUGAUAAACGAAAGAUAGUUUUCCACUUGUCGUAGGAAACCUAGAUUUCCCCAGAAACAAGGAAUCAAAUAGCAAGAAAACAUUUCGUUCAAGGUAAACAAUGCAACAUGAAUUUGCACUUUUUUAAAUUCCAGCAGAUAAGUUUAAUUAAGUAGUUGUUGAAGUACUAUAGAUACACCUUUUGGAUUUUUGUAUUGUGAUAUUUUUACUGUUUUUGUUAGGUACUUUACUAAGUGAAAGUUGGGGUACCAAUGGGACCGUUUCUUAUAAAUGUGCCAUAUAAGUAUGUUUUUCAGGCACACAAAUCGGUUUAGAUUCUUAUCUUAAUUAUGUACUGAUACUUUAUUUUAUCAACUUCAAAAACAAUUUGUUGUACAAAAUGUUUCUACAUUAAAAUUUUUUGCUCUGUCAUGGCGAAAUAAAUUUGUAAAAUCAUAAAAUAUAUAUCUUUGCUGAGAUCUCAUUACAACUUACCUUGGGAUAUGUAACUUGCAUUUGAGAAUUUGGUUUCUAUUAUUUUGUAUUAAACAUAAAUUUUGUUACCAUGGUAUUUUAGUUGCGAAAGUGAAAUGUUUUGUUAAGAUUUGGUGGGAAAUCAUAUUUUUUUUCCUUAUAUUUGAGUGUUUAGUGAGGGGAAUAAAGUUAUAUAACACAA